AUAGUCAAAUGUAAAAGUCACAUGACAUGCAUGGGCACACCAUUAUAUACAUAAAAGCUUGAAUUUGAUUAGGUUUUCCACUUGCCUUGGUUGUUGCUCCUUGGCCCGGGGCCCCUGGGGAGGUGGGGGGCCUCUGCUGCAGCAGGUCCAGCCUGGGGGGCACAGGGGGCAGCGGCGUCACAGGGGAGGGCGGGCGCUCCACCUGAAAACAUCAAAACAAGUUGGUGAGGCUGGAGAGGCUGGUGAUGGGGCUGAAAUGCGUCCUUCAUCAAGCCGAUGAGACCUGCGCCCCUCCUCGGAUUUCCUGCCAUGCUUGUCGCCGGCCGGGGGAGAGCCCCGAGGCGGUCAAUGAAUGACAAUUCUGGGCACGUAUUUACAGACAACUGCCGUGAUUACUGUCUCUAUAGUUCUCUGAUAAAGAGAGUAAUAAUCACACAAACCUUGCUAAACGAAGAAAACCGUGAGCUUGCUAACUAGCUAAUUUAAAGUCCUCAUCCGCCUUCUCAUUUCGUCGGAAAAGACAGGCGUUUGCAUAACUCAACCUCCUGCCUGUUUUUUUUUAUUUCUGACCCGUCUGUUAUCUUUGGAGACAGCUUUUUUUUGCCUGUAGAGUAAAUUGGCUAACUUCCGGUUUGGAAUGAUCUUCAAAUGUCAAAAUAAAAGUCAUUUUGAAACCCA